rnacentral:lncRNA from 1 species
UGUGUUCUUGAUAUUGUGACUCAUUACGUAAUUGCUUCAGUGUUGUUGUCAUUUGUUCAUGUUGUUUGUUGCUUGCCACCUGCAAAGUGUUAUAGUUUAUUUUAUGUUAUUACUGUAUGCAUAAUGGUUUCUAUUUUGAGUCGGUCGAAGAUAUCUACUUAGUUCAUGUUGCCUUGUGCUGAGCCUUACUGGUGUUUUUCUUUGUUUUCCUUCUGUGGAGUGCAACAAGUGUACCAGCGGCUUCGAUUCACCCUUAGCUCUAGCCAGUCUCUAGCACAUCAGGUUCCAGGGUGAGCUAUUCAUUAUUGCUCGUAUUGAAAAUUCUCUCAGUCAUGACAUGAUUUCCUUAGUUUUCGGACACAAAUUACUUUAUUCAUUUAUUUUGGUUUUAAUAUUCUUAGACUUAGUAUUUGGAGAUUAGAUGUCCUUGAUGUGAUGACUUUCAGGUUUUGAGAAAUUAUAUUUAAUAGACUUUAGUGGAUUGGUGUUUCAUACAUUAAUAAGAUUUGAGCUUCCGCAUUAUGGUUAGUAUUUCGUAAGUUGAAUGAUAAAUAUAAGUUGAGGUUCAAUUCGUUGGUUCGCCCACCUAAGAGGUUAAGUAUGGGUGCCACUCAGGACUUAUUUUGGAUUGUGACAAACUUGGUAUGAGAACUUUAGGUUCGGUGAUCUUAUCACACAAGGACAAGUCUAGUAGAGUCUUAUGGAUCGGUAAGGGGACACCUUUACUUUUCUUAAAGAGGAUAUAGGACUUUAGGAAAACUCAUUCCUUAUUUCUUUCGUGCUAUUACUUGAAUCCAAUUGGUAUCUAGGUGAUACAAAUUAGUAUCCGGCCUUUUUUACUCUAUUUCACAUAUGGUCAGAGCUAGAGCAAUAGAAGUGGCAACACCACCACUAGCAAGAGAGGAUGCGUCCUCGAAAAUAAGUAUGUUUCCACGAUUCAUUGUUGACAUGUAAUGACUUGUGACUAACAUGAUCUUUUUAUUAAGUUCUUAGUGUUGAAACACUCAUCCUUCAUGGGUAUUGAAUAUGAAGAUGCUUAUGAUUUCAUUGUUGAUUGUCAUGAGUUGCUUCAUAAGAUGAAUAUAGUGGAGAGGUUUGAUAUUGAGUUUGUGACAUACCAAUUUCAAGGAGACGCCAAAAUGUGGUGGCGGUCUCAUGUUGAGUGCUGACCAGUAAAGACAAUACCUAUGACUUGGGCAUCAUUUUCUAGCUUCUUAAUGGAAAAGUAUAUACCCCGAACUUUUAGGGAUAGGAGGAGAGAUGAGUUCCUGAAUAUAAAGCAACGGAAGAUAUAUGUUGCAACUAAUGAGGCCAAAUUUCUUGCUUUAUCCAGAUAUGUAACUCAGCUUUGCUUCAGCCCGGAAGAACGGAUUUGUUGCUUUGUGAAGGGAUUGAGGUCAAAUUUGCAUAUUAAAGUCUUAUAGGUGGUUGCUUCAACAAUUUUUUUUCAGGAAGUGGUUGAUUUUGUGAUGGAGGUAGAAGGGGUGGAGUCAGAUGACUUUGAUAAAGUGACAAUAUUCAAGAAAUUUCGUAAGAGACGACUAGAUAUUGAACACCAUUACUUUGGAAAAUAUAGUUAGUAAAGUUGUCAUAACAUGUAUGGGUUGCUUAACGAAUGAUGAAAUUAUGUUAUGCCAACUGAGGUCAGAAUAUCUACUACAACUUUAUAGAUUGAGUGUAUAUCAAAGAGGGUCAUCUAUGCUUACUUGGUUAGAGUUAUGAAGUGUGCUACUUUUGUUGUUGACUUGAUCUAAGAAGGAAUGCAAACCGUCGGGGCUAGAGACAGAACGAUUUUGAUAAUGUUUGGUAGUUAUUCAAUGGGUAAAAGUGUGUGGGCUAUUUGGAUAUGAUCUUCUCUAUACAUAUGAUUUUUUCUAGUGAUGGAUCUAACGGAUUUUCACGGUGUGGUACUAGUGUUAUGUGGAAACAAAUACGUCGAUUUUCAAGUGUGAAUACUAACUAAUUAAGGAGUUAUUAGUUGUAUGACGUGUUCAAAUAUUGAGAUUUGGUGUUCCAUUCACAUUUGAUAAACCAACUAGUUUGUUACUACAUGCGCUUGCGUUAAGCUUUGUUUUUAAGGGAGAUCUUAUUAAUGGAUCAUUGGUACGGUAUUAAUUCAUUUAGGCUAUGAAGUGUAUCGUGAGGAUUCUAAAUGAGGAUGGGUGAUUUUAUCUUAAGCUCCAAAGGACUAGAUUAAUAUCGAAAUGACAAACUUAAGGAUAAAGAAAUUCCCAGUGAGUAUACUUGGGUGAAGGAAAUUAAAAAUUUUAGUUAGAAAGUGAGUAUAAAAUUAGGUUAGUCCUUUGGACUUGAUUGGUAUAACAAAGCUUGAGGUGUCAUGUCUAUGAAAAGGUUGACUUCAUGGUGAUGGAAAGAGCGAACUGAUCAUGAUGGUAAUAAAAGUUUGUGAUUGAUUGUGAUUGAGAUGCAACUAUAUAAUAAGGAUUGUUGGUUAAGAAUUUUUUUUGGUAAUAACGACAGGCGAGUAUCUAAGGUUUUGAUUUUCUACUAUUUGUAACGUAGUUGUAUGAAAAUGUUUAAGAGAUGCUGGGACACCGCUCGAAUAAAAUUUAAGGGAGCUAGAGUCAUAAAUUUUUUUUAGUGGGAUGUAGUGUAGCUUUCGGAAAGAGGUGAGAGAAAAAUAUUUUUCUCUGAUUGCAAGGGUUAAAGAGGUAUCUUCAGAUGGGUUGAGAAUUGGGUUCAGAGACGUGUGGUUUCAUCCAUUUUCUCUGGUUAUGGUAAUAGUGUUACAAAUUCAUCAGAUUGGUUAAAAACUAUUGGAUCAGAUUUUAGAAAAGAGUGUACAUAUGUUUAGCUCGAGUGCGAUGGUAAGCUCUUUUGUAGUUUUGAGUUUGGUGAUGAGUACAAUUGAAUGUUUAGCGACAAAUAUGGUAAGGUCAAUGGAGAGGCGAUCAAUAAUAAGCUACGAUACUUGAAUUCAUAAUAAUCUUCAAGGUAUGAGCUAAUGUUGAUAGAUAAGGAGAUUAGGUUACACAGUUAGGUUCAAAAUUUAAAUUUUUUUAUUGUAAGUCUACAUUCCUGAUAGUAUAUUUUGUCAAGGUAUGAAUUUGUAAGGUAAGAAAUGAUCGAUUGCAUCGGGUAUUGAGCAUUUGGAAGGACUUAUGCAUGGUUUGGGUAGUAAAGUUUGUUACUUUUGAUUGUUAAAGUGCCUAAGAAAGGGUUGUGUUGGUUUAGAGUAAGGUAAAUGGCCGGAGUGGUUAUGAUGGUUGUUAGUGUUGAGAGCGUGAGCUUCAGUGGAAUGAUGUGAAGAGUAUGUGGAGUUUGAUAAAUAGAGUAUAGGUGCGAUCGUAAUAGGGACCAGACCGGUGAAUUGUGGGUAGCUAAAAAUCAAAGAAAUAGAGUCAAAUAAAUGGAAAUGUUCGAUAUAGGCUUUUUAGAGGAAGCAUUUGGUGUUAUUCAACCUUGGUCCCAUACAUUCUUAUGAGACCACCUAUUUUGUUUUGUAAAUGGUUUGGAGUAUGAUUCACUAGCUAUGCCCACACACGUUUUUUACUUUUGUGGAUGGAUCCCUAGUGGUGAAUCGGGUGUAAUGAUCCUGUGAUGUCCUCUUGGUUGAGUAAGAUGGUUGGGCAAAAUUCGUUAUCUCAUAUGACAUUUUUGGUUUCUCUUGGAAGUGUUGAAGUAUUCUAGUGGUUCUACAUGUACCACCUUGCUUAUGAAAAUUAAUACAAGAGCUUUCAUGGGUAUUUACAGUUAUUCGACGGCCUUAACGUUCAUCUAGUCAUCAAGGUCAUGUUUCGGGUAUGUGUGGUUCAAUGUGGGGGACCAUUGGGUCUAGUUCAACUGUUCCUAAGGGUUAUCUACAAACUAAUGUAGCAUUUCAACAGUGUUGUUAAAGGUUUUGUAUGCUUGGGUGUAUCACUUGAUGGGUGGUUACUUGAUCACUUCCUUCUUGGGGUUAGAUAAGUUUGAUUCUCCCUUGAUGGGUACCUGAUGUCUAAAGAUCAAAUUUUUAUAACUUAAGCUCAAGGAAAGUUUAUGUUGUGAGAAGGAAAUAUUGAUCAGAUCUAUGAUGGUUUGUGCAUUGCGAGUGUGGUGUGGUUGGUUCAACUUCACUUCUUGUUGUAGCCAGUAUUGAUUCAUGAUUUUAUCACGGUUAUGUGAGAAAUUUUUUUUUCCUGAUAGUUGUGUCAAGGUCCUUGAGAACAUGUUGUGGACGUGUGUACGAUUAACUCUGGUGAUUAUUGGGAAUAAUUUUGGUUGUUAGUUGAGUUUACAUACAACAAUAGUUAUCACUCGAAUAUUGAUAUGGCCCCAUUUGAGGCAUUGUAUGGGAGGAGAUGUAGGCUUCCCAUUGAUUGGUUUGAUGCAUUCGAGGUGAGACCAUGGGGUACUGAUCUUUUGAGGGAACCGUUAAAGAAAGUGAAAUUCAUACAGGAGAAGCUUCUAGUAGCUCAGAGCAGACAAAAGGAGUAUGCAGAUCGGAAGGUCAGAGACUUGGAGUUUAUGGAGGGAGAUCAAUUGUUGCUGAAGGUUUCACCAAUGAAGGGUGUAAUGAGGUUUGGUAAGUGAGGUAAGCUUAGUCAGAGUUAUAUUGGGCCAUUUGAAAUUCUUAAGAGGGUGGGAGAGGUGGCCUAUGAAUUGGCUUUGCCUCCAGGGUUUUUAGGAGUGCACCCGGUGUUUAAUGUGUCUUUGUGAAGAAAUACCAUGGUGAUGGAAACCACAUUAUUCGUUGGGAUUCGUUCUACUUGAUGAUAAUUUGUCUUAUGAGAAGGAGCCCAUAGCUAUUCUAGAUAGGGAGGUCCGCAAGUUGAGGUCAAAGGAGAUUGCAUCUGUAAAGGUCUAGUGGGAGAAUCGUCUGAUGAAAGAGUCCACUUCGGAGGCUGAUAUGCACAAAAGAUAUCCACACAUUUUUGUCGAUUCAGGUAACCUUCCUUACCCUCACCUUCUUUUGAUCGUUCGAGGACAAACGAUUGGUAAAUUGGUAUCUGAUGUAACGACUCAUUUGGUCGUUUGGAGUACUAUAGCUUCUUAUUUCAUAAAAGACUCUACUGAUAUAUUCUAAAUGGGUAUUUUGGACCAUUCGUAACUACAAUUAUAGAAUUAAUGGGGUAUUUUAAUAAUUAAUUUUUAGUUGGUAGUUAAUGAGACAAGUCUGAAAUUUAUUUAAUGUCUUAUACCACUUGACCCAUAUUUAUUAAAAUAAAUUAAUAGGGUUUAUCAUUUUUUUUGUGCGUAAUUAUUUUAUUUAGAAAAGAAUAGAGGGAACCGAGAAGAGUAGAUCUGCCGCAUCUCAAAGAUAAACCCGAGAGGUAAAUAAUAUGUGCAAUUUCUCUACAUCUUGUUUACGAGAUUUCAUUCUUAAAUUGUCAAUGACAUUUAAUAUAUAUAUCAAGUUGCUGCUAAUUGAUUUUUACGGCUGAAUAUUGGAACAAGUUCGGUAGUCAAUAAUGAAGCAAUGAUUGCUCUAUAAGUGAGUGGUCAAUUAAUUGUUCUUAGAUUCAAUUAAUAAGUGAGUGGUUAAUGCUUCAAUUUGUUCCGUAGCGAACAAUGGGUUUCGCUAACAGGGAAUUUCAACUCUUAAUUAAUUUAAUUUUAUUAUCAUAUUAUAAUUUAUGUUUUGAUAUAUUGAGAUAAGUAAUUUAAUAUUAGGUGUAUUGCAUUACUUAAAUAUCAUUAAAGUUGUGAUAAUUGGAAUAAUUAAGACUUACCCUUAGGCUUGAACUUUAGAAAAUUGACUAUAGAUUUGGGUGAGUUUUUGGGUCUAAGCUAGAUAUAUAGUAAUAUAGGUUUCUAUAGACUCGGUUGCUUAUGAAUAUUGUAUACUUGAUAGAUUGGAAACUUUUCAAGGCAUUGAGGAAAGGAAAAGCAUUGUGGAAUUAGCUUGCUUGACUUCGGUUCUUCGGUGAAGGUAAGUUAUGGUUUAUUCUAUGUGAUAGAUAGACUCUUAAUAGUGAUUGAUAGUCAUUGAGAGAUAUUGUGAAUUUUUCUAUUUACUUGGUUAUUGUGGUUUGGAUAAUUCAUGUGUGGCUAUGAUUGGUCUGUAAUCCCAAGACCGCGAAAUCCAUAAUCUUGAACUUGUUCUAUUAAAGUGAUGCCUUGAAUAAAGAAGACUUGAUGAAAUAUUAUUAAGCAACUGGAAAGAGAUGAUAAAGAAUGACAAAUGAAUUAACUAUAUGAUUGGAUCAGGUGCCACGAGCCGGCACGAUAUAUUUGGAUCGGGUGCCAUGAGCCGACACGGUAUUAUUGGAUCGGGUGUCACGUUCCGACAUAGUAUUAUUGGAUCGGGUGUCACAUUCUAACACGGUAUUAUUGGAUCGGGUGUCACGUUUCGGCACAGUAACAUUAAAUGAAAACAUAUUUAAUUAACUUAAUGUACUCAAUCUCAAAGAAUCCAUUUUCCAAAUGAGCGUAGAGUGGAGGCAUGAGUCCUCGUGUGUGUUCUUGAUAUUGUGACUCAUUACGUAAUUUCUUCAGUGUUAUUGUCACUUGUUCAUGUUGUUUGUUGCUUGCCACUUGCUAAGAGUUAUAGUUGAUUUCAUGUUAUUACUUUAUGCACAUUGGUUUCUAUUUUGAGUCGGUCAAUGAUAUCUACUCAGUACAUGUUGCCUUGUAUUGAGCCAUACUUGUGUUUUUCUUUGUUUUCCUUUUGUGGAGUGUAGCGAGUGUACCAACGACUUCGACUCGCCCUUAGCUCUAGCCAGUCUCCAGCACAUUAGGUUCCAGGGUGAGCUAUUCAUUAUUGCUCGUAUUGAAUUCUCUCAGUCAUGACAUGAUGUCCUAAGUUUUCGGAAACAAACUACUUUAUUCAUUUAUUUUGGUCUUGAUACUCUUAGACUUAGUAUUUGCAGAUUAGAUGUUCUUGAUGUGAUGAAUUUUAGGUUCUGGGAAACAAUAUUUAAUAGACUUUAGUGGAUUGGUGUUUCUUACAUUAAUAAGAUUUAAGCUUCCGCAUUAUGGUUAGUAUUUCGUAAGUUGAAUGAUAAAUAUAAGUUGAGGUUCAAUUCGUUGGUUCACCCACCUAAGAGGUUAAGUGUGGGUGCCACUCACGACUCGUUUUGGGUUAUCGUGACAAUAUGGUUAAUAAUAUAUCCCAACAGAUUUAAUGGAUGAUUAGUUAUGUUUAUUGUUUUACAAAUCUGAAAUUUGAAAAUGUACUUAAUUAGUUGUUGAAAUCGUUGAUUCUUUUGAACAACAGAGCUUAAAGUGUAAAGCAAUCAUAUAAUUUUAGAUAGUUAAUUGUGCUCACAAAAAGAGAGACUGCUAUAUCAGCCUCGAUCAAAGAUUAUGAAAUAGCAUGUCGAAUUGAUGUCAUUCUUCAAAUUAGAUAUAAUUUGAGCGAGAAUAUUUAUAACCUCGCAAAAAAAUCGAAGAGUUUCUUUUAAUAAUCUCUGCCAAAUUUGCAAGUGGAUUACUCGUGUUGUUGCCUUCUCAAAGUAUAUGGGUUAGUAGUUAUUGUAGGCCUUAGUAAUUAGCAUGCACAUCCAUUUGAUAUUAAUUAAUGAAAGUAGUUACAGAGCAAGAAAGUUCUAUCUCAAAUCUUAGCUCAUGUCUAUUAAAAAAAAGACAUGUGUUGUCUUGGAUAGACCUCUCGAAUAUCCCAUGAUGUAAUUAUUCAAUAAUUUUGUACAAUUUUAAAAGUUGUCACGUGUCUACUCAAAUAUAAGACUCAGACUGAAAGCAUAAGUUAUAUCUAAUGUUGACAAGCAAAUACACGUGUACAUGAAUGCGUUUCUCAGCAUUAAGCUCAUGAAAAUAAAAAAAGGGACAUCUUGGAAGAUUUAUUAGAUCCUUUUGCUGCUAUGAUUAUGUAUGGCUCCAAAAGUUUACAAGAAGCAAAUGGUUCCUCUAAAGUUUAUGAUUGUAUGUUCUUUGUUAGACAUCACUAAUUGGUAUUAAUGAAUGGAUGCUCUUUGUUGGAGAUUCAUGAUUUGGUGCAAAGAUUCUCUAAAUCUUGGCAUACUGAUCGUAUAGAUACCCCCCCCCCCUUAAUAUCCAUAAAACUUGAGUUAACCAGGAGAGAAAAAUACCCUUUUAAGUAUUCUAUUUUUUAAAAAAAUUUAUUAUUAUUAUUAUUAUUUCUUCUGGGCCUCUUAUCCAGAGAAUACCUCCAAUAAAAUGUUUUUCCAAACUUUCUUUGAUGAUGAAACUAUUGUUACUAUCCUCAUGGUACUUAGAUUACCUAGAGAUCUGAAAGGUCUUAUUUUGGAUAAACUUAUUGAUAAUAUUUUAAAUGAAGAUUUCGAAGAGUUUCUUAUGCUUGAUUACCUAGAAGAUUAUCUGACCGAUUAUUUCUCUGAAUGACAAAAGGUUGUUAUAUUUGCAGGAUGAAUCCACCAUGGAUUCACACAAAUGGCAGAGGAAGGGGGAGAUCAUCCCAAGGACCGUCAUACGGAUCCAUGGCCAGUUCAUCUCAGGGAUCGUCAUACAUAUCCUCAUCAAAUUCCCCGAUUAUACAAAUGGGAAGAAAAACGUUGAUAACUAAAAAGAUUUCUUUACAAGAAGAAGCUUUGCCUGGUUCAAAGCAAACUGUUAAUUUGGAAGAUAUUCCAAAAGACAGUCCCUUAUACGGUCACAUGCAGGCAUAUUUGACUGCUCAAAAGCAAAAAUAUACUUUUGCUUCUGUUACCAAAGAGGAUAAUGAUGAUAUUAAAUCCUACGAAAAUGUACCAAAGAAAGAAAUGAUAUUUCUCUUAGAAAACUCUGAACUUCAGAGAAAGAAUGAACCAUGGAAGAUAUUCCAAAGGUACUUAAUCAACGGAUUGUACUAUCCGGAUGAGUCAUAUAAGACUCGAUCAUAUUAUGAAGAAAUCUUGAUAAGUUCAGGAAGUGGGACUAUGUCCGGCUAAAGAUCUCAUAUCUAUGUUGAAUAACUAACUUCUCUCCUAUAUAGACCAUGAACGAUCUAAGCUUUAUUAAAAUAUAAAGGAAUUUUGGUAUGGUUUCUCGACUUGGUUCUGAGAUCGAGGUACAGUCGGAUCUAGUACUACUCUUAUUGGCUCCGUCUGGCCAGCCGUGGUUCACAACCCGAUAAAGGAGUUGAAAAGGGCUCCCUAUACUCGGUUAGAACUGCCAGACAUAUGGGCUCAAUAAGAAAUAUGUAUUAGAUUCUUGACAGACCCUUUGCUCAGGUAAAAUUAACACUAUGCAGUCCGAGAAGCUAUAUAAAAAUUCUUGUGUAUUUCAAUUCUUAACCAGGCGGACUACCGCUAGUUUAAGGAUGCUAAAUUGCUAGAUCAACUACCUGUCGGUAGUCCGCCCAGUCAAAGAUCUAGCAAUUUAGCAUCCUUAAACUAGCGGUAGUCCGCCUGGUUAAGAAUUGAAAUACACAAGAAUCUUUAUAUAGCUUCUCGGACUGCAUGUUGUUAAUUUUACCUGACCAAAGGGUCUGUCAGGAAUCUAAUACAUACUUCUUAUUGAGCCCAUGUGUCUGACAGUUCUAACCGGGUAUAAGGCGCCCUUUUCAACUCCUUAAUCGGGCUGUGAACCACGGCUGGCCAGACGGAGCCACUAAGGCAAAGCCAAUAAGAGUAGUACUAGAUCCGACUGUACCUCGAUCUCAGAACCAAGUCGAGAAACCAUAACAAAAUUCCUUUAUAUUUUAAUAAAGCUUAGAUUGUUCAUGGUCUAUAUAGGAGAGAAGUUAGUUAUUCAACAUAGAUAUGAGAUCUUUAGCCGGACUUAGUCCUGGCUAGGAGAGACAGAGUAAUAUGAAGACUAAAAAUAAAAUUACCUUAUAAGGACGGUUGUCACCAAAGUCCAAAAAGUGAAGAAUUGAUCGGAUUAUUAUUUGAGAACGGUAAUAGGAACAGAGCUUACAAAGGGGUUUCUUUACAAAGAUUGAAAACUAUGAAAACUAGAGAGGGA